GGAGAAACUCUAAUUCUGACCAACUGGGGAAAACUUCAGUUUAGGGUUUGGGCCCUAAUGUUGACUGAAUGGAAAAGUUCAGUUUAGGGUUUAAAACCCUAAUGCUGACUAAUGGAAAAGUUCAGUUUAUGAUUUAAAACCCUAAUGCUGACUAAAGGAAAAAGUUCAGUUUAGGGUUUAAAACCCUAAUGCUGACUGAAUGGAAAAGUUCAGUUUAGGGUUUAAAACCCUAAUGCUGACUAAAGGAAAAGUGUUCAGUUUAGGGUUUAAAAUCCUAAUGCUGACUAAAGGAAAGAGUUCAGUUUAGGGUUUAAAACCCUAAUGCUGACUUAAGGAAAAGAGUUCAGUUUAGGGUUUAAAACCCUAAUGCUGACUAAAGGAAAAGUUCAGUUUAGGGUUUAAAACCCUAAUGCUGACUGAAUGAAAAAGUU
rnacentral:lncRNA from 1 species